UACGAGGGGGGCGAGUCGUUGUUCGGAAUUAUUGGGCGUAAAGGGUGCGUAGGCGGUUUGGUAAGUCCGUUGUGAAAACUCGAGGCUCAACCUCGAGACGCCGAUGGAAACCAUUUGGCUAGAGUCCGGAAGAGGAGAGUGGAAUUCCUGGUGUAGCGGUGAAAUGCGCAGAUAUCAGGAAGAACACCCGUGGCUAAGGCGGCUCUCUAGUACGGUACUGACGCUGAGACGCGAAAGCGUGGGGAGCGAACAGG
rnacentral:rRNA from 1 species